UACGUAGGGGGCUAGCGUUGUCCGGAAUCAUUGGGCGUAAAGCGCGCGUAGGCGGUCAGGUAAGUCCGGUGUGAAAGUCAAAGGCUCAACCUUUGAAUGCCGCUGGAUACUGCCUGACUUGAGUCCGGAAGGGGCGAGUGGAAUUCCUGGUGUAGCGGUGAAGUGCGCAGAUAUCAGGAGGAACACCAAUGGCGAAGGCAGCUCGCUGGGACGGUACUGACGCUGAGACGCGAAAGCGUGGGGAGCAAACAGG
rnacentral:rRNA from 1 species